AUUGAACGCUGGCGGCAGGCCUAACACAUGCAAGUCGAACGGUAACAGGAAGCAGCUUGCUGCUUCGCUGACGAGUGGCGGACGGGUGAGUAAUGUCUGGGAAGCUGCCUGAUGGAGGGGGAUAACUACUGGAAACGGUAGCUAAUACCGCAUAAUGUCGCAAGACCAAAGAGGGGGACUUUCGGGCCUCUUGCCUUCGGAUUUGCCCAGAUGGGAUUAGCUUGUUGGUGGGGUAACGGCUCACCAAGGCGACGAUCCCUAGCUGGUCUGAGAGGAUGACCAGCCACACUGGAACUGAGACACGGUCCAGACUCCUACGGGAGGCAUCAGUGGGGAAUAUUGCACAAUGGGCGCAAGCCUGAUGCAGCCAUGCCGCGUGUAUGAAGAAGGCCUUCGGGUUGUAAAGUACUUUCAGCGGGGAGGAAGGGAGUAAAGUUAAUACCUUUGCUCAUUGACGUUACCCGCAGAAGAAGCACCGGCUAACUCCGUG
rnacentral:rRNA from 1 species